UACGUAGGGGGCAAGCGUUGUCCGGAUUUACUGGGCGUAAAGCGUGCGCAGGCGGUGAGCUGUGUCCGAUGUGAAAGCCCCGGGCUUAACCUGGGAAUGGCAUUGGAAACUGGCUCGCUGGAGUGUGGCAGAGGGGGGUGGAAUUCCGCGUGUAGCAGUGAAAUGCGUAGAGAUGCGGAGGAACACCGAUGGCGAAGGCAGCCCCCUGGGCUAACACUGACGCUCAGGCACGAAAGCGUGGGGAGCAAACAGG
rnacentral:rRNA from 1 species